UCAUGUGAAGACACAGGAAGAAGGGCGCCAUCUACAAGCCAAGGAGACUCAAAAUUUAACACCAAUCCUGUGAACGCCUCCAUCCGGGACUUCUGGCCUCCAGAGCAGUGAGAAGACGAAAGUCCUGUUGUUCAAGCCACCCGGUCCACUGUACUCUCAUACGGCAGCUCUGGCUAAGUAGCAUAUCCCGCCUGGAUAGGAUGAGGUUCGUAGUAGGCUGCAUGUAGCAGAAAACUGAGUUUCUUUUAAAGUGGCGUGAACAAGAUAGAGGGCUUUGUUGUUAAUUGUUUCGUUUUUCUUUCGCAGAAGCAGUUGGAAAGGUCAGUGUCUAGGGCUGGUAUUGUAGCUCCCGGUCAUUGGGCACCAGCCUCUUUCUUCUCCUCCUCCAUCAUACUGGCUGGUGGUUUCUGUCCUCAAGUUCACGACAAGUGCUGAGGCGGCUCCUGGAGCACCUGAUGAAAGACGACUUUCAUCAGGGGAAGGAGGAAGGAAGGAGGGUCAAAAGGAGCACACUUUUCUAUGGACUUAGCUUCCUUUAAGUGGCCUACUUGGAUAGCCACACACUUGUGCUCGCAUCUCAUUGGCUGGAGCCUAGCACCCCCGAAGGAGGCUGGGAGACUGUCUUCUGGCCGGAUAUACGUUGUCACCCCCAAAUAAGAGUGGGAUUCUGUGAUCAAGGAAAAAGAGGGAGUGGCUGUUGAGGAGGCAGCUACCUAACAGCGUGUGCAGCCCCUUGACCGCGAUGUAAAUUCUCUCCCGCACAAGAGGUGGUGGAUCUUGCACAUACGCAUGCGUGCAUCCGUAUGUAUACGACGUUUUCUGUUGACGUUGGGCAGAAACAAGAAAAAGAGGGUUUUUUCCUUUUCUUUUCUGAAAUCGUAGGGGAAAUGUCAUAAGCUUUCUCUCCAGGGCUCCACCCAGUGGCUCCCAGCCCUGUCCUGGUGCGGUCAUGCUAAAAAACAUGAACAGCUGCAGUCGGUCAUGUGCUCUGCUGGGAGGGGUCACCCUGCUCAUUUACUUUGCCGGCUGCCAAGCUAAGGGCUACUGACUUUCAUCGAAGGAACAAAUCAAUUUGGUUUAUAAUCCACUGACGUGAAAACAUCUGGAUUGACUGCACUGUCACCAAUUUGGUGUUUGGAAGUUGAUCCAGUUCAGCUCUGGGAGAAUUUGUUUUCUAAGGGCCUAGUGUUAACCCAAAACCAGAUGAGGCGUUGAUGGAAAGAUCCCUGCGCUAAAGAGCUUGCAAUCAGGCAGAAGAGAAACAACUCGCACCAACGGGACUCAUCGAUGAGACACUCACCUGGUUGAACUGGGAGCCAUGGCCAAGAGCCACUGAAAAGGAGUCUGGAGACAGGAAUGCUCGCUCAGAUGGGAUGAGACGGGGGUCUGACCAGCAAUUCGAGAUUUCCCGAAGAGAAUGUGAUUGGCCCAGGCUGGGGUGAGAGGCCAUUCCUGGUCACCAUCAUUCUUGGGGAACAGAAGGACUCAUAUCUAAAUAGAACAAUUAAAACGUGUGUUUGCCAAGCUCCAUGAAAAUAAGUUCAAAGGCAAAAAGUAAAUUAGACUCCAACAUAGCAUAGUCAAAAAUAUCUUACAACUCAGUAAGAAAAAGAGGAACACCCCAACUGGAAAAUGGGAAAGGACAUGAACAAUACUGUUAUUUAUGCAAAAUAAAUAAAUGGCCAGUUUAUACAUGAACAAAAAGUGCCGAAUCUCUCUAGGUAUCAAAGAAAUGCAAAUUCAAACACGAUAUAAUGUUUUACCUAUCAUAUGGGCCGGAAUAAAAAUAGAAUGUACCCUGUUCACAAUGCUUAGGAAAUAAGCAGUCUCAUUUGCUUAGGGGAAGGGGAGGGGGCUUUUCUACAAGAAAUUUACGCGAAAGGUAUGAAAACCCUAAAAUGUACAUGAUCUCUGAUUAGCAGUUCUGCUUUUAAGAACUGAAUCUGAGGAAACAGACAAGGAAAAUACUAGUGCCGAUCAUAAUACAGAGCACUUACGAUGUGGCGGCAACUCUCCCGAGCGCUUUACGUGUAUUUCUUCAUGUACCUCUUGUAAUAAUCCUAUGUAACUCUUUGUUAUCGUUUAGUUUUUGGGAGAGAGACAGAGACACAGUAUG